rnacentral:rRNA from 1 species
AGAACGAACGCUGGCGGCAGGCUUAACACAUGCAAGUCGAGCGCCUCGCAAGAGGAGCGGCAGACGGGUGAGUAACACGUGGGAACGUGCCCAAAGGUACGGAACAACUCCGGGAAACUGGAGCUAAUACCGUAUGUGCCCGAAAGGGGAAAGAUUUAUCGCCUUUGGAUCGGCCCGCGUCUGAUUAGCUAGUUGGCGGGGUAAUGGCCCACCAAGGCGACGAUCAGUAGCUGGUCUGAGAGGAUGACCAGCCACAUUGGGACUGAGACACGGCCCAAACUCCUACGGGAGGCAGCAGUGGGGAAUAUUGGACAAUGGGCGCAAGCCUGAUCCAGCCAUGCCGCGUGAGUGAUGAAGGCCUUAGGGUUGUAAAGCUCUUUCGCCGAGGACGAUAAUGACGGUACUCGGAUAAGAAGCCCCGGCUAACUUCGCGCCAGCAGCCGC